rnacentral:misc_RNA from 1 species
UCAUGUUAUCCAGUCAUGCUGUCGCGUGAACUGUACAAAUCCACUCUGCGUACAUAUCCUGUUGCUUCCGCUGGGUCCGGAGCAUUUUUGGAGGAGCUGCCCUCUUGCACGUUGAAUAUCUGUGCAGAGCUGGCCGCUCUCCUGGGGCUGCUUUGGAUUCACAUGCCUGGCGGGAGGAUACUUAAUCUCUGGUCUUACUAUUCAAUCUGUCUGAUCUAUGAACCAAAAAAAUGUUA